rnacentral:rRNA from 1 species
GACGAACGCUGGCGGCGUGCCUAAUACAUGCAAGUAGAACGCUGAAGGAAGGAGCUUGCUCUUUCUGGAUGAGUUGCGAACGGGUGAGUAACGCGUAGGUAACCUGCCUGGUAGCGGGGGAUAACUAUUGGAAACGAUAGCUAAUACCGCAUAAAAUUGAUUAUUGCAUGAUAGUCAAUUAAAAGGUGCAACUGCACCACUACCAGAUGGACCUGCGUUGUAUUAGCUAGUUGGUGGGGUAACGGCUCACCAAGGCGACGAUACAUAGCCGACCUGAGAGGGUGAUCGGCCACACUGGGACUGAGACACGGCCCAGACUCCUACGGGAGGCAGCAGUAGGGAAUCUUCGGCAAUGGACGGAAGUCUGACCGAGCAACGCCGCGUGAGUGAAGAAGGUUUUCGGAUCGUGAAGCUCUGUUGUAAGAGAAGAACGAGUGUGAGAGUGGAAAGUUCACACUGUGACGGUAUCUUACCAGAAAGGGACGGCUAACGACG